rnacentral:rRNA from 1 species
CCUCUGGGUCCAACCUCCCACCCGUGUUUAUCGUACCUUGUUGCUUCGGCGGGCCCGCCUCACGGCCGCCGGGGGGCAUCCGCCCCCGGGCCCGCGCCCGCCGAAGACACACAAACGAACUCUUGUCUGAAGAUUGCAGUCUGAGUACUUGACUAAAUCAGUUAAAACUUUCAACAACGGAUCUCUUGGUUCCGGCAUCGAUGAAGAACGCAGCGAAAUGCGAUAAGUAAUGUGAAUUGCAGAAUUCAGUGAAUCAUCGAGUCUUUGAACGCACAUUGCGCCCCCUGGUAUUCCGGGGGGCAUGCCUGUCCGAGCGUCAUUGCUGCCCUCAAGCACGGCUUGUGUGUUGGGCUCUCGCCCCCCGCUUCCGGGGGGCGGGCCCGAAAGGCAGCGGCGGCACCGCGUCCGGUCCUCGAGCGUAUGGGGCUUCGUCACCCGCUCUGUAGGCCCGGCCGGCGCCCGCCGGCGAACACCAUCAAUCUUAACCAGGUUGACCUCGGAUCAGGUAGG